rnacentral:tmRNA from 1 species
GUUGGCUUGCCAACUACGACGAUAAACGAAUUUCGUAAUAACCA